rnacentral:rRNA from 1 species
AUGGAAAAUGUUGGAAUCCAGAAACACAAAAUCAUGGAUGUGUUGUGCAUGCAGUACGGUGGAUAUGACCAGGUUGGAUGCACGACGAGGGACAUCUAUAACUUCUCCCAUCGCUACAAGCAGGAAACAGUCGCUGCUGGUGAUGCUCAGACGGUGAUCCGUCACAUGAUGGCGCGGCAAGAGAGAGACCCGGAUUAUUUCUUCAAAUACUUGGUUGAUAAACAUGGGCAUCUGAAGGGAUUGUUCUGGUCCAAUACUCAAUCUCGCCUUGACUAUGAGGCUUUCGGCGAUGUUGUGGUUUUUGAUAGCACAUACAGGACCAAUAAGUACAAUUUGCCGUUUGUGCCGUUUGUCGGGUUGAAUCACCACCGCAGCACAGUUAUCUUUAGAUGCGGGAUCAUUUCUCAUGAAACUAACGAGGCGUACGAGUGGAUGUUGCGGAUAUUUUCUGAAUCCAUGGCGCAGAAGCAUCCGAUAUCUGUAAUCACUGACGGGGACCUUGCAAUGCAGAGAGCGAUCAGGGUGGUGUGGCCUGACUCAUACCACAGGCUGUGUGUAUGGCACAUUCAACAGAACAUCGUACGCCAUCUGCAUGAUGACGAGGUUAGGGAAGAAUUUAGAUCUUUCAUAUAUGACUCGUCUUGUAUUGAAGAGCAUGAGAGAAAAUGGAUAGAGUUCUUACAAAGGAAUGAAGUGACAAGUGAGGAGUCGUGGUUGCAUCAGAUGUAUCAGAUGAAGAAGUUGUGGUGUGCUCCAUACCUGGUGGGGCACUGUUUCUUAGGAUUGAGCAGCAAUCAGCGGAGUGAGAGCCUAAACUCCGUGCUACAUACACAUCUUGAGGGUAAGAUGACAUUGUUUGAUAUGCUAGAGCACUAUGAGCGUUGCCUUUCGGGACGACGCUUGAAUGAGGCGAUCCUAGACAUCGUGACCUUGCAGUCCGUUCCAUUUACAGACGCGGAUGCUUCAAGUCUUGAGAAACAUGCUGCCCGAGUUUUCACUCCUUGUAUGUUUGAGUUGGUUAGAUGGAGCAUAAAUGUCGUCAGCAAAUAUGUUAUCAGCGAGAUACUAGAUGCAUGGGAGUUGACUACAUAUGUUGUGGCUAAGAUCGAUAGAAGAGAGAAGAAGUUCGAAGUGCGUUGUGAGCUGAAGGAAGGUUCUCUGUACAGGAUCAGUUGCUCUUGUCGUAAGCUGGAGUGCUUGGGAACACCAUGCUCUCACAUAUUCUACAUCUUGGGAAUACGUCAAGUGGAACUGCUGCCUAGGUGUUGUGUUCCCAUGAGGUGGACGAUGAGUGCAAAGUCUGCAUUCCCUCCGACCAGAAAGAGCGAGAUGUAUGACUAUUCUGAAAGCCUGGUGAGGUACCGUGAGUUGUGGAAUUUGAGUCACACGGCAUGUUUCCGGGCAUGUCAACCCAGUGAGGAGUAUCAGCGUCUGAAGAUGGUUCUGAAUGGACAAGAUGGCAGCAAGGAAUCAAGCCGUGGUCAGGAGGAAUGCAUUAGGGUUGGUCUGGUGCUGCCACAGACGACGGAAAUUGAUUGUGGAGAUUUGGAAAAGGUUCCGGACCCAAUGCAUGUGCAAGGCCGAGGUGCACCGAAGAAAAGGUUGCAGGCAAAGAUGAAGAAGCAAAGAUCAAAGAGGAAAUGUGGCUACUGUGGGGUGACAGGUCAUGAUCGGCGUAAUUGCACUAAACUGCAAGAGGAAAUGAUGGCAGCAAACUGUUAG